AACGAAACGCUGGCGGCAGGGCCUAACACAUGCAAGUCGAACGCCCUAGCAAUAGGGAGUGGCAGACGGGUGAGUAACGCGUGGGAACCUUCCCUAUAGUACGGAAUAUACCAGGGAAACUUGGAGCAAUACCGUAUACGCCCGCAAGGGGAAAGAUUUAUCGCUAUAGGAUGGGCCCGCGUAGGAUUAGCUAGUUGGUGAGGUAAUGGCUCACCAAGGCGACGAUCCUUAGCUGGUCUGAGAGGAUGAUCAGCCACACUGGGACUGAGACACGGCCCAGACUCCUACGGGAGGCAGCAGUGGGGAAUAUUGGGCAAUGGGCGCAAGCCUGACCCAGCCAUGCCGCGUGAGUGACGACGGCCUUAGGGUUGUAAAGCUCUUUUGGCGGGGACGAUAAUGACGGUACCCGCAGAAUAAGCCCCGGCUAACUUCGUG
rnacentral:rRNA from 1 species